GUACACACCGCCCGUCACACCAUGGGAGUGGGUUUCACCAGAAGCAGAUAGUCUAACCGCAAGGAGGGCGUUUGCCACGGUGUGGUCAAUGACUGGGGUGAAGUCGUAACAAGGUAGCCGUAGGUGAACCUGCAGAAGGAUCA
rnacentral:rRNA from 1 species